AUAUUUCAAACUGAUAACUGCAAACUUGGAGUUGGGAACACUAUCGCGGACUACAACAUCCAAAAUGAGUUUAUGCUCCAUCUGGUUCUGUGUCUCGCAUGCAAAUCAUCGUCUCAUGUUUUGGAUAUUUAAAACUUGUUCACAAAACUUUUUAGCGAUGACUGCAAAGACUCCUUGGCGAAGUGAUCGAUGUCCAAGGCCUGCAAAUCCACAGACAAAAUCCUAAGAAAAUCAAUGGAGAGAUGGAGAAACCUUGGCACGGAUGCAGAUGCAUGCGACGCGCGAAGCAUCAUCGACCGAGACGGACGCGUCCUGAACAAUCAGCUGGUGUUGGCGCAGAAUCCACAGCACACUCAACAAGAGCCUGGCCUGCAUCCUGCAGCUCAUGUUGACGAACACAUCCGACUUGCAUAUGUGCAGCCCCAAGCUAGAACUCGAUCCCGCUGCUGCCGCCAUCGCCAUCGCAUUCCACU
rnacentral:lncRNA from 1 species